ACGGGAGGCAGCAGUGAGGAAUAUUGGUCAAUGGACGGAAGUCUGAACCAGCCAUGCCGCGUGAGGGACGACGGCCCUAUGGGUUGUAAACCUCUUUUGCCGCAGAGUAAUAAGGGUCCUGCGGGGCCCGAUGAGAGUAUGCGGCGAAUAAGCAUCGGCUAACUCCGUGCCAGCAGCCGCGGUAAUACGGAGGAUGCAAGCGUUAUCCGGAUUUAUUGGGUUUAAAGGGAGCGUAGGCCGUGCUUUAAGCGUGUUGUGAAAUGUAGGCGCCCAACGUCUGCACUGCAGCGCGAACUGGAGCACUUGAGUACGCAGGAAGUAGGCGGAAUUCGUCGUGUAGCGGUGAAAUGCUUAGAUAUGACGAAGAACUCCGAUUGGGAAGCCAGCUUACUGUAGCGCCACUGACGCUGAUGCUCGAAAGCGUGGGUAUCGAACAGGAUUAGAUACCCUGGUA
rnacentral:rRNA from 1 species